AGGUCUUAGCUUAAUAAAAGUGUCUGAGUUGCAAUCAGGAGAUGUAGCCGUAGUUUACAGGUCUUCA
rnacentral:tRNA from 1 species